CGCUUGAUAAAAAUCGUAGAUGAGCAUCACUUCACAAGUUUGUCUACAUCAAUUAGAAUCUUUCGUGGCAAACAUGUCCCGAACACAAAAUAUCAUACUUUGUUUCUUAUUUAUCACGCAGUGUUCCUUUACCAAAGGAUCUGCGUUUAAUACGAAAUUGUCAGAGGGAAACGUUGCUAUUCAAACAGAAUCCAUGGAUAUUUGGAAAUGCGAAACUAAUUUUGAUUGCACCGUAAGUAAUAGUAGUUGUGUCAAGAACGUAUGUCAGUGUCAAGGAGGAUAUGAUUUCAAUGGAAGUUUAACGUCGUGCAUUAAAGUGGCUACUACUUACGGCGAUAAUUGCACUGAAUCAGUACAGUGCUCUAGACAUUUAUACAGUGGUGGAAUUUGUGAAAAUAAUGUCUGUGUGUGUGCUAAAAGAUAUUACUAUUUGCAUGGAAAAUGUAAUUUGUAUAGAGGAUUACAUGCAACAUGUCUCAAGGACUCUGAUUGUUACGUGAAUUCAGUUUUCGGGGCAUCAAUUUGUCAAAAUGGAAUUUGUGCAUGCGCACUUGGAUUUUAUCAACGAGAAUACAGAACGUGUCGUCCAGAAGGAAACAAAGUUGGUGAUAAAUGCGUGAUAAACAACGAUUGCACAUUUAACAGUACUGCACACUGUGAUGAUUUUAAGUGCACUCUUCCAAGUGCAGGAAAUACUACAUUACAAUUUUUAGAAGACAAUAACGUUGUUCACGAGAACUCUACAGAUAAAUCAGUAUUUACCAUUGACAAAGUUUGUAAAGUAGACACAGAUUGCAAGGAUUUGAAAAAUGCCAUAUGUGGUCCUCUGAAAACAUGUGUUUGCAAACGUGCGUACUUUUUCAAUAAGAAUAACAGUACAGAAGAGUGUGUCCCAGAGCUUGGAGAACCAUGCGAUGUUAACGAUAAACCUGAGAUUGAGUUUUCGGUAUGUGAAAACGGUGUAUGGAAUUGUGAACCACAACGAGUUGCUUCUUACGAUAAUAAAGAGUGCUUAAAAGCAACUAUGAAGUACAUGUUUUCUUGUCGCUUUGAUAACCAAUGCUACAUUUUUGGGCCGGAUGCAAUUUGUUCAGAGGACAAAUGUGUUUGCAACGAGAAUUCGCAGUUUAUCGAAUCUCAAAUGUUCUGUUGGGUGAAGAAGAAACUCGGUGAAACAUGUAAAAACGCAAUGGAUUGUUAUGUCGAUGAGACGAGUGCUAAGCCAACAUGCACACAAAAUGUUUGCACCUGUCCUCAAGGAACUAAGCAAAAUUCUGAACGAACAGCUUGUGAGAAAAUUGUGAUAGGAGCUAUCGAUUCUAACUGUACGACAAAUAAGGAUUGUCCCCUUGAAAACACGGAAUGCAAAUCAAAUCGUUGCACUUGCCAGAAAAAUUAUGUUGCUGUCUCAAUUGACACAUGUCUGCCACUUGCGUCCUUUGGAAAACCUUGCGAAAAGGACAUCCAGUGCUCUGACACAGUGCCCAACGCAAUUUGUUCAGAUGAUGGUUUAAACAAAACUUGCACCUGUGCCGAAGGCUAUCAUCAUAAAUUCGAUAACUGUUAUCAACGUAAAGUUCUCGGUGAAAAAUGUACGAAUCUUGGGGUAUGUUAUCUGGAUUCCAACAUAGAUCGUGUAGUCUGCAAGAAUGGGCUCUGCGCAUGCGAUUGGGGCUACAUUCGAAUAAACGCGACUGUGUGCGAAAUAAGUCCGAACAAGCAAGCUUACUUUAACGGUAAGUGACCUUGACUCGUGACCGAUCGAAAGGCUUCCUUGCAUUUGAUUUUGAGAGGUCGAAACUUUAAGUAGCAGUUUUUUGAGUCGCGUAGGAAACUCUAAUGCGGCAAGGAAUCGAUUCAGGUGCAUCUACUAUCAGGAACAUUUCAGGAGGAUUACUGCCAAUACUCUUACUGCUGAUGAACUUACACAAAUUAAUAUGAACAUUAAUUGAAAAUUAGCAAACCUUUAUGGGCAAAAUAAAUGCAAUAAUAAAUGUAAUAGCUACUGUUUUUAUUAAUUAAAAAAUCCUGGAUUAAGUACAAUGCAAUGGCGCCAUUCGAACUUUUUACAAAGUUAUGUCAACAUCUGCGAGCCAACUGUAAUAUAUGCAUUAUAAAUUAUUGUAACAAUGAAAGUUGUACUAUGGUAAUAAAUUAAGAAGAUGGGAAUAUCGAUUACGAGGAGAGCUUAUGAGAUGCAAGUUUCGAAGAUAAGAAAGUAGGCGUGUUAGAACAUUUAGAAGAUUGCUAUGUAUUGGAAAGAGUCAAUGUAGGACAGGAAACGAUAGUAGAGGGAAGAGCGAAUCAAAAGGUAGAAGGUUAAACCUUAACUACUCUCAGGGCGCGC